rnacentral:rRNA from 1 species
AGCAUAUCAAUAAGCGGAGGAAAAGAAACCAACAGGGAUUGCCCUAGUAACGGCGAGUGAAGCGGCAACAGCUCAAAUUUGAAAUCUGGCUCUUUCAGAGUCCGAGUUGUAAUUUGCAGAGGGCGCUUUGGCGUUGGCAGCGGUCCAAGUUCUUUGGAACAGGACGUCACAGAGGGUGAGAAUCCCGUACGUGGUCGCUAGCCUUCGCCGUGUAAAGCCCCUUCGACGAGUCGAGUUGUUUGGGAAUGCAGCUCUAAAUGGGAGGUAAAUUUCUUCUAAAGCUAAAUACUGGCCAGAGACCGAUAGCGCACAAGUAGAGUGAUCGAAAGAUGAAAAGCACUUUGGAAAGAGAGUCAAAUAGCACGUGAAAUUGUUGAAAGGGAAGCGCUUGCAGCCAGACUUGCCUGUAGUUGCUUAUCCGGACUUUUGUCCGGUGCACUCUUCUGCGGGCAGGCCAGCAUCAGUUUGGGCGGUUGGAUAAAGGUCUCUGUCAUGUACCUCCUUUCGGGGAGGCCUUAUAGGGGAGACGACAUACAACCAGCCUGGACUGAGGUCCGCGCAUCUGCUAGGAUGCUGGCGUAAUGGCUGUAAGCGGCCCGUCUUGAAACACGGACCAAGGAGUCUAACAUCUAUGCGAGUGUUUGGGUGUCAAGCCCAGACGCGUAAUGAAAGUGAACGGAGGUGGGAACCUUUUAGGUGCACCAUCGACCGAUCCUGAUGUCUUCGGAAGGAUUUGAGUAAGAGCAUGGCUGUUGGGACCCGAAAGAUGGUGAACUAUGCUUGAAUAGGGUGAAGCCAGAGGAAACUCUGGUGGAGGCUCGCAGCGGUUCUGACGUGCAAAUCGAUCGUCAAAUUUGGGCAUAGGGGCGAAAGACUAAUCGAACUAUCUAGUAGCUGGUUCCUGCC